GGAUGGUGAUGUGCUGUGUCACUUCAGAGCUUAGCAGGUGCAGAAAAUUCAUCUGGACCCGGCUGACAGCAAACUCGACCUGUGGCAGAAACACGGCAGUGAGGUAGGGUCAGGCCGGCUGCCCGAGGCUCUCAAAUAUCCUCACCUCUCUCUGGAAGAAGCAGAGAGAAGCUCUUUCCUGGUGAGCCUUUCCCAGCUUUGCCCCCAGACGCGUGCCCACUGGAGACAGGGACAUAGAGGUCCGGUGUGAGCCAGUCCACAGCCAAGGAGUAACAAGGACGGGAAAGAACCGAGGCCACAGCUAUGAGGGUUCCGGAGUCACCUGAUCCCUCCCCCAUGGCAUGGGUGUGGGAGGGGGUUUGUCUUUGGAGCUGAGCUGGGAUCCUGAGGCCCAGAGAGGAAGAGGAAGUAGAUCAAGAGCCUCUUGGAAGAGGGGGAAUAUGAGAAGUGCCCUCCCCACCCUUUCUAAGUCCCAAGGCCCCAGAAAUGGCAGUCCCAACAACCAACAAGGACAGGAUUUAUGGCUUCAGUGGAUGCAGCUUAAGCCCUGACCAUUGGUUUUGUCUUUUUGUAACACAAGUGCUGAGGAGCCCUAAGCCCCCACCCUGGACCCCAGUAAAAGCAGAACCCCAGGCCCCUGCACACACGCCUCUCUCCACCAGCAACCUGGCUGUGUGCCCCCGAUGUGCUGUGUGAUUUUCAGGUCCGCACCAGCCGGUCUGGAUGGCUGUAACCCUGUCAUGAGGAGAGAAGGUGGUCACCGGCUCCUUGAGGUCCUGGCCCGGCCCGAGGUCUAAGCCUCUGCAGCCACAAGUUCUUGCACUUGGGAGAUGAUGCGGCUCCCCCCACUUAACAGGUAGGGAAACUGAGGGCCAGGGAUGGGAUGGGGGCUGCCCCAGAGUCUGGAAGCUUAAGGGGAGUGGAGGGCCAGCAUCGACUCCCCCAGCCGCCAGCUCCAGCUCGGGGAACAAAUAAGCUGUGGGACGCUCGGUGCAGGCCACGUGGAGGCUGUUGACCACACGUGAGCCAUUCCUUCUGUCUCCCCCAGGAGGGGAUCUCAUGCAGGCAGGGGGCCCGGAGGUACCUCUGCUUUCAGUGCGCCAUUUGUGUCCAUCCACGUCUGGAAAGCUGCUCCAAGGUCAUCUUGCUGCUGUGCAAAGAGGAGACGGGGUGUGCAUCUUGUCCCCACUCCUGGCCCCAAGACCUCCCCAGACUCACCAAGAGGGAGACCCAGGGUCUGAGCACGAGCUCUCCCAGCCACCCGCCUGGGUGGUAUCACGGCCAAGUCGCCUGCCUCCUGUGGAACUCUCUGUCUUUCCUCCACUUACAAACGGAGUCAGAGCUGACCCUUCCACUCCCUUUCUCCAGGACUUCCCUAGCUCUCCAUCACCCUCAGGAUUAAGUACAAACUCCUCCACGUGGUUACAAGACCUGAGCUGAGUGUUGUGGUCUCUGGCCCAGACUCUCUUCUCUUGGUCACACAAACUCUGUGCACCAGACGCACUCUUGUGUUCCCAAAUCGCUAAGCACCAUGCUCUAUCUAGCCACGGGGCCUUUGCACAUGCUGUUCCCAUCACCUGGAUCAUUCUUCUUACCCUCCAAUGCUCCAUCUGGCUAUCUCCUAAUCCAGUGGUUCUCAACUAGGGGCAGUGUUGCCCCCUGGGGGACAUUUGGCUAUAUCUAGAGACAUUCUUGGCUGUCACAACUGGAGGAGGGGUUGCUUCUGGCAUCUAGCGGGUAGAGGCCAGGCACGCUGCUAAACACCCUAAAAUCACUCAUAGCAAAGAAUCAUUUGUUGGUAAAGGCUGCAGUUGAGUAGCCCUGCCCUAGACUCAUCCUACAUGUCAGCUUCCUCGGGAAAUCCUUCAUCGGGCUCCCGCCCCCAGGCUGGGUGCGGUUCCUUUCUCCGUGUGUCGGCAGUGCCUGUGUUUCUCCUCUGGCUUGCAUUGUAGCUGUCAACCACACACCUGUGCCUCCAACCCUAGCACUGGACUUUCCAGAAGCACAGCAGCGGUCUUGCCGUGAGAACAGUGACAGGGAGAGCAGGACGGAGAGCAAAGCCCGAGAGGUCCAGAGCCCGGACUCUACAGAUCCUUCACAUUUCCAAGCGAAUGUUAGACGCAGCUUCCUAUUUUCCACAAGGAAGCCUUGAUGGGAUUUUGAUUGGGAUUGCGUUGAAUCCAGAUACCAACUGGAGGAAAACUGACAUCUUAACAAUAUUGCGCUUUUGACCAGCGAACACAGUAAGUUCCUCCAUUUAGUUAGGUCU